CAGAGUUGUGAUGAAUGGCCUCGGCUGUGUCCGCGGCUUCCCAAUCCUCGAGGUACUUCUCUGACUGUCUCGUAUGUGGUGUCAACAUGGGAGAUGCUGCAUUUAUCCCACCUAAGAGCCCCUUUGGGAAAAACUUUGGCUGGUGGUCGACCUAGAGCUAUAAGCCAAUGUCUAAAGAGGGAUGAUUUUCUUUUGUAACACCAUGUGGCCACAAUAUUCUUUAGACUCCGGACAGAAAAAAAAAUGGCCAAACGAUGGAUCGUCAAGUUGGGAAACUUUUAGAGAGCUCUUAUGAUAAACAACUGUUUUAUUGGCACCUAUGAAAAGCCCAAAUUAAGAGGAAACUAUAAUGACUAGUCUUAAGAACUUAAUCCAACUUGGGGUCUCAGCUUCUCGUAGUCUUACAGAUGCUAAUGAAAAUGUUAAGUUAACAAAGAGAAAUCAGAAAUGGAAGAGUCACAGGACUCGCCCCAAUGGGAUACAUGGAACAGAUAUGGAUGAAGUUAAAACAAAGGUUUUAAUGAAACACUGCCUAAGGUUGGAUGGGCUAAAGGGACCGCCCUAUUGGCUCCCCAACAUUAAAGGACAUCAGACAAACCUGUUCUAUUUACCCCAGUUUGAAAAAUUUAAAAGGUCAGGAGGCAGAAAUCAAAGUGAGAAACCUGACCAACAAUUGUUUGGGGCAACAGUUAGGCUACUGAGAUUAAUAAGACUAUAAAGAUUAAAGUGUUUAAGCUAAUGUUAUAUGCGAGGUUAUGUCAACUUCGCCUGGAUGUUUUCUUUGGGAACAAAUGUUAUGUCUAACUAGGAAUGCUUCUGCUGAACAAUAUUGUAAUACCAAAACCUGUUAAUAGAAUUCUAAUAGAAAUUCAUGGAAAGGACUCUGACACUCUGGAAUACAGGUUUCCAGUAAACGUUCAGAUUGUAAAACUAAACUGGGUAAGAAUUACAGAACUCCAACAGAGAAACUGAUGACCUCACAAACUGCUGACAGAAGAUUAAGAUCAAGAACCGAUUACACAGGACAGAAUAAACUGAUAGGGAUGAUUAUAACUUUAAUGACUUUUUGAUUGAGAUAUUGCUGAUUUUUGAUGUUUUGCUUUUUUCAGAGUGAAGAAAACUUUUUUUCUCUAUUCUCUGAAAGAACUAUGACUUGCAACAAUUUAUAAACAAAAUUGAAACAUUUGUCUUUUCCUCCCUAUCUGAGCCCCCCAAAACGCAAAAACUUCUGAUAAGUAAGUAUUCUUAUUCUUAUGGCAAUAUAGUUGUUUGCAUAAGUGCAAUAAGAAUCUGUUCUUCUUUCAACAGGACACAAUUGGAAACAGUGGUUAUAUUACCAAGGCUUUGACUGGAACAUCAUGUUUGAAAAAACAGAUGGGCUUGAGUAUAACAAGACAGCUUUUGAGGAAUGAAGGUUGACAUUCUGGAAUAAAGCCACUUGGAAAUAUUGGCCUGGUACUGUGCUUAUGGGUUCUGUAACCUGGUAAGGUUGAGCAAAGAAUGUCACUCCCUCUGGCAGGUACCAGGAACCUCAAUAUUUUGGGGAACCUCACGAAGAGAGAGAUUCACCCAAAUCUGCAGGUACUGCAGGCAGAAUGUGAUACAGGUCCUUUGCUUGGCUUUCCUUGAGAGGCCUUUAAAGAUCAACCUGAGAUUCCAUAUAAGGUUCCAGCAAAGCAGAUUUAAAAGAGCCUAUAUGAUAAAUUACUAUUCUUGCUAUGCUUAUUAAAUAGUUAAAUAAUUAUGCCAAAUUUAUUAAAACUAUACAUUUUGCAAACCAGAGUGAAAUUGAGGGUGAUUUUAGGGAGGAAGAUUAUGUUUCAAUGGACACUAUAAUACAUGUUUAUAGAUAUUAGACUUUAGUUUUUUCAAUUGUCUUUGAAAUUUUUAUUUUACUUCUGUUAACUGGACUGGAUCUUGAAUUCUUCACCUCCUGAAAUAUCUGGCUAAAAACCUCCAAACUGAGAUUUUCAGGGUUUUUUCCCCCAUUAUUUUCAUUUAGAGUCAUUGAAAACUAAAUGUGCCCUUUUUCUAAAGCCUUACAAACUGAAGCUGGAGGACCUAAUAGAAACUUCAGAGAGAUUCAUGUCUGCUGCUGUGUAAGCCACUCAAAAAGCUACCUGAGUGCCCGAUGACACCAUCAGAGACAUUUCAAACUGCAGAAGAUGCUUCGACCCUGACUUCCAGGACUCUUGAUUGGCUGCCCCCUGGGCUCAGAAACUGGUUUAUAAUUUGCUCCAACGAUUAACCUCGUUUUUCUCUUUUUGUUUCUCUAGAAAAACUUCGUAUUAAAUACCUGGUUACUUACUUACAUGAUACAGGCCCACCUUCAGGAGCCCACCAGCAUCACCGCCUUAUUAAAAGACUGGUUCAAUGAGAUGAAAUGACCUAUGCCCCAUUUCAGCAGGAAGUAGCUAGAUCCGUCGCCGCCCCAAAUCCCUCAAGAUUGAGGGAGGACAUAAAAUAGGGGGGAGUUGAUAUCGACCCUGAUAUCAGUUUCCCCACAUUAAACUCAGCAUGUAUGGGGUUAAAACCAAAACACUCAUUCCCUGCUUACUCUCUGGCUUCCUGGCUCCAGAAUCCACUAUCCUCCAUGGAGACAGACACCGUCAAGGACAAGCACCUGGACUAUCUCCUCCCACAAAGAGAUACAGACUGGUGGGAAAGCUGGUGACCAGCAAGGUCACAGGCUUCCUCCUCUCUGUAAAUGUCUCAAGGCCAAAGACAGGCUGGUUGGGAAAGCUCCGACCAGCAAGGCCAUAUGCUCCCCCUCCCCUACCUGAAACCCCAAAUAGAAACCCUUCCUUUUAGCUUUUCGGGGAGUUUGGGAUUUCAGCGUUAGCUACCCUCUCUCCUUGCUCAGCGCUGUGCAAAAGUAAAGUUCCUACUUUCUUCCACCACCCCCGGUGUCAGAGAUUGGCUUGCUGUGCAACGG
rnacentral:lncRNA from 1 species